GAUGAACGCUAGCUACAGGCUUAACACAUGCAAGUCGAGGGACCGGCGCACGGGUGAGUAACACGUAUCCAACCUGCCCUUUACUCGGGGAUAGCCUUUCGAAAGAAAGAUUAAUACCCGAUAUAAAGGAUGGGGAUGCGUUCCAUUAGGUUGUUGGUGAGGUAACGGCUCACCAAGCCUUCGAUGGAUAGGGGUUCUGAGAGGAAGGGCCCCCAAAUUUGAGCUGAGAGACGGUCCAAACGCAAACGGGAGGCAGCAGUGAGAAAUAUUGGUCAAUGGGUGCUAGCCUAAACCAGCAAAGUAUCGUGAAGGAUGAAGGCUUAUGGGUAUUAUAUUUAUUUUAUAUUAGAAUAUGUAGUAUAUGAAUAAGGAUCGGCUAACUCCGUGCCAGCAGCCGCGGUAAUAC
rnacentral:rRNA from 1 species